CUGAACGCACGUAGUCACGUCGUAUACGAAGAUCUUAAUAUAAGGGUUAUGUGGCACAAGAAUAAUUAACUUCAGGUU